rnacentral:sRNA from 1 species
AUGAUAAAUGGCAUCUUUGCUAGCCAAGGGUUACGAUCCACUUCCCUCCUAGAUGACAAACUUCCUAGGGAAGUGGAUCGUAACCCUUGGCUAGCGAAGAUGGAUAAAUUCAG